GACGAACGCUGGCGGCGUGCUUAACACAUGCAAGUCGAACGGAAAGGCCCUGCUUUUGUGGGGUGCUCGAGUGGCGAACGGGUGAGUAACACGUGAGUAACCUGCCCUUGACUUUGGGAUAACUUCAGGAAACUGGGGCUAAUACCGGAUAGGAGCUCCUGCUGCAUGGUGGGGGUUGGAAAGUUUCGGCGGUUGGGGAUGGACUCGCGGCUUAUCAGCUUGUUGGUGGGGUAGUGGCUUACCAAGGCCUUGACGGGUAGCCGGCCUGAGAGGGUGACCGGCCACAUUGGGACUGAGAUACGGCCCAGACUCCUACGGGAGGCAGCAGUGGGGAAUAUUGCACAAUGAGCGGAAGCCUGAUGCAGCAACGCCGCGUGCGGGAUGACGGCCUUCGGGUUGUAAACCGCUUUCGCCUGUGACGAAGCGUGAGUGACGGUAAUGGGUAAAGAAGCACCGGCUAACUACGUG
rnacentral:rRNA from 1 species